UCUUCUGUUUUUUUAUAAAUUCUGGAAACAAUUUCAUUCUAAAAAGCAUGCCUGUAAUUGUAAGCAAUGUGGCUAAGAUGAUGAGAACAAGGCACCUUAUAGGUUGUUUAUGUUUAACUUGAGUGAAUGAUAUUGGUACAUGAAUGAAUGCAUUGAAUAUACAUGUGAAAUAUGUUCUUUGGAGGUUCAAGUUAAAGAGAAAAGAACAAUAAAGAAGGAACAAAAAGAGCAGUUGUACCACUAUUCAAAUUUUAAUUGUGAAAGUUAAAGGGCACCUAUGGAGUUUUUGCAUUGCUUGGAAGCAGCUUAAAAAGACUUGGAACACUGCAUAUAUAUAUGACUUUUAUCAAUGUAGUUAAGGUCACUUACCCAUCCCACGUCUUUUUCUCACCCUUCCUUUUUGGCCCUUUCCCCUUUCUGGGUGGGGUUGGCCUGAAAUGGAGGACAAACAAGCCAAGGAAGGUACCUGUUCAGGGGACCAUAUAACAAUUGUAAAUACCAUCACUCAGUCAAAAAUUUUAAUUACUCACUGCAAUUGAGUUCAUUUACGAGGCAGAUGACAUUCAAUAACUUCAUUUAUACUGUAGGACUCAGUACUGUAUACACAAUGGAUUAAAAAAAUACAACCAGUAGUACAUUACAUUUAAUGUACUAUUUUUAAA